GGCGAUCAGAUACCGCUCUAGUUCUGACCGUAAACGAUGCCAACUAGCGAUCCGCCAGUCGACUCAUCGCUCUGGUGGGGAGCUUCCCGGAAACGAAAGUCUUCCGGUUCCGGGGGAAGUAUGGUUGCAAAGCUGAAACUUAAAGGAAUUGACGGAAGGGCACCACCAGGAGUGGAGCCUGCGGCUUAAUUUGACUCAACACGGGGAAACUCACCCGGCCCGGACACCGUAAGGAUUGGCAGAUUGAUAGCUUUUUCAUGAUUCGGUGGAUGGUGGUGCAUGGCCGUUCUUAGUUCGUGGAGCGAUUUGUCUGGUUUAUUCCGAUAACGAGCGAGACUCUGGCCUACUAAAUAGUUGACGCAUUGCCACUGUGCGCACAACUUCUUAGAGGGAUUUUCGGUGUUUUCAACCGCACGAAAUUGAGCAAUAACAGGUCUGUGAUGCCCUUAGAUGUCCGGGGCUGCACGCGCGCUACACUGGCAAACGCAACGUGCCUGUCCUGCCCCGAAAGGAGCGGGUAAACCCCUGAAAUUUUGCCGUGAUUGGGAUCGGACAUUGCAACUAUUGUCCGUGAACGAGGAAUUCCUUGUAGGGGCGAGUCAUCAACUCGUCCCGAAUACGUCCCUGCCCUUGUA
rnacentral:rRNA from 1 species